GAUGAACGCUGGCGGCGUGCCUAAUACAUGCAAGUCGAGCGAACGGACGCGGCGCUUGCUUUUCUGUUGUUUGCGGCGGACGGGUGAGUAACACGUGGAUACCCUCCCUAUCAGACUGGGAUAACUUCGGGACACCGGCGCUUAUCCCGUAUAAUAUUUUGCACCGCAUGGUUCAAAGGUGAAUGACGGUCUUUCUGUCACUUAUAGAUGGAUCCGGGCUGCAUUGGCUAGUUGGUAAGGUAACGGCUUUCCAAGGCAACUAUGCAUAGCCGACCUGUGAGGGUGAUCGGCCACACUGGAAGGGAGACACGGUCCAGACUCCUACGGGAGGCAGCAGUAGGGAAUCGUCCGCAAUGGGCGAAAGCCUGACGGAGCAACGCCGAGUGAGUGAUGAAGGUCUUGGGAUCGUAAAACUCUGUUAUUAGGGAAGAACAUAUGUGUAAGUAACUGUGCACAUCUUGACGGUACCUAAUCAGAAAGCAACGGCUAACUACGUG
rnacentral:rRNA from 1 species